CCGGCGGCUCAGUCUCGGAACCCGCAGCCGGGAGCGCAGGGCGGGCCACACAGGGCGCCAGCACCUCCCACGAGCUCCGCGGGCCUCGCAUCCGGAAGACGCCCCGGCUGACCGCGCGAAUGGCUCGCGCUGCCGCGGACACCCGCCUGCCAGGGACGGGGCCUCUCUCCUGGGCCGUUUCAUCUCACCGAGAGCGAGAUCCGCUUUCCUAGAGGCUGGGAGGACCAGGCCCGGGCACAGGACUGGCUUCGCACCACUGGCCCCGCAGUCGGGUCCCCGGGGACGCGCCACGGGUCACUGCUGCCUGCUAAAGCGACACAAGGCGCCUUCAUUCCUCAGGCCGAGGCGGCCGAACGCCUUGGCUCUGGCCGACAGUGAGCACCCACUGCGAGUCCGCACACACUGCAGCGCCCCCGGGCACGCCCCGCAGUCCGCCCAGCGUCCCCCGGGGCGGGGCACAGCCAGAGGACGGCCCGAGAGCCCUGCUGUCCCCGUCAGCGCCGCAGGAGGGCGCGACUUCCCCGCUGGGCCGAGGCCUUUGCCGGGCCCUCUACUGUACGCCGGUCCUAGGGCUGGGACCGCCGUCCUGGACCGACCUCAGCCCACUGUUCUGCGGAGGCCGCGUGUUGGGCGACAGCAGCCACCCAGCCCGGAAGCAGCCGUUCCGAGCGCAGGGGCGCCAAGAGCCCCGCGCCCCGCCUGUGCGCCGGCCCUGAGACUUGGAACGAUGGUGCAGGCAGGAGGGGUCACCGGUAGGGAUGCCACUGGAGGGACUGGGCCGUCCACACGGACCAGCUGACACACUAAGUGCUGGGUACACAGCAGGACAAUGGCAAGGGCUGCUCAGACUGCGUUUUUAAAAUCGCCUCACCACGAAAGACAGAAAGUAGGGAAGGGUACCUUGCUGUGGCCAAGGCCGCCCUCGCUGAGUCAGCUGGCAUUCCCACGACUCCACGAGUCCCCAAAGGGCUUGUCAGAGCCCAGCGGCACCCUCGCCCUGGAAGUGCCCUGCGUCCUCCUCAAGAGCCUUAUUUGGGACAGAGAUCAGAUCAACCGCGCCACCACCCUCCCACCCACCUUCCACAUGUGAUAGGGUCGCAGGAAUGGGGAGCCUCGCAGAGGCGCGGCGGCAGCUCUCGCCUGCCAGUGACAGCCCACCUCCCACUUUAAAACAGGACGUUCCGAGUCCUGGUUCCACAUGUUCAAAAGGCCGUGGCAUGGGGGAGUGGGCCUACACCUGAGCUUUGGCUGCGAAAACACUCAUUUCAAGGAUAGCUGCUAGGCGCUGCCUUCCCCCAUCCCCCUGCUGUUGGCCCCCAUCCAAGCAUCUCCAGCCUCUGCCAGGCUAUGGACAUCCGUUGCUGGAAAAGCUGGGAAGAGGGCUGGCAGUGGAGACGCUUCAGGUGCACCGUGUGGACAGACAAGGUUGCAAGUGAUGCUGGUCCUCAAGUGAAGUCUCACUCUGUCACCUGGGCUGGAGUGCAAUGGUGCGACCUCAGCUCACUGCAACCUCCACCUCCUGGGUUCAAGCGAUUCUCCUGUCUCAGCCUCCCAAGUAGUUGGGAUUACAGGCACGCGCCACCACACCCGGCUAAUUUUUGUACUUUUUUUUUAGUAGAGAUGGAGUUUCACCAUGUUGGCCAGGCUGGUCUCAAACUCCUGACCUCAGGUGAUCCACCCACGUUGGCCUCCCAAAGUGCUGGGAUUACAGGCAUGAGCCACU
rnacentral:lncRNA from 1 species